rnacentral:rRNA from 1 species
UACGGGGGGGGCAAGCGUUGUUCGGAAUUACUGGGCGUAAAGGGCUCGUAGGCGGCUCAGUAAGUCGGGUGUGAAACCCCCGGGCUCAACCCGGGGACGCCACCUGAUACUGCUGUGGCUUGAGUCCGGUAGGGGAGAGUGGAAUUCCUGGUGUAGCGGUGAAAUGCGCAGAUAUCAGGAGGAACACCAGCGGCGAAGGCGGCGCUCUGGACCGGUACUGACGCUGAGGAGCGAAAGCGUGGGGAGCAAACAGG